rnacentral:rRNA from 2 species
UGGGGAAUUUUGCGCAAUGGGGGAAACCCUGACGCAGCAACGCCGCGUGCGGGAUGACGGCCUUCGGGUUGUAAACCGCUUUCAGUAGGGAAGAUAGUGACGGUACCUACAGAAGAAGCUCCGGCUAACUACGUGCCAGCAGCCGCGGUAAUACGUAGGGAGCAAGCGUUAUCCGGAUUCAUUGGGCGUAAAGCGCGCGUAGGCGGAUAUUUAAGCAAAAUCUCUAAUCUGAGGGCUCAACCCCCAGCCGGAUUUUGAACUGGAUGUCUCGAGUGUGGUAGAGGAAGAUGGAAUUCCCGGUGUAGCGGUGGAAUGCGCAGAUAUCGGGAAGAACACCGAUGGCGAAGGCAGUCUUCUGGGCCACUACUGACGCUGAGGCGCGAAAGCUAGGGGAGCGAACAGG